CUCCUACUCCCUCCGUCCAAAAAUACUUGUCAUUAAAAUGGACAAAAAGGGAUGUAUCUAGAACUACAAUACAUCUAAAUACAUCCCCUUUUAUUCAUUUUGAUGACAAGUAUUUCCGGACGGAGGGAGUACACA
rfam:Triticum aestivum genome assembly, contig: Triticum_aestivum_CS42_TGACv1_scaffold_112133_2AS